UACGUAGGGUGCAAGCGUUGUCCGGAAUUAUUGGGCGUAAAGAGCUCGUAGGCGGUUUGUUGCGUCGGCUGUGAAAUCCCGAGGCUCAACCUCGGGUCUGCAGUCGAUACGAGCAAACUAGAGUGUUGCAGGGGAGACUGGAAUUCCUGGUGUAGCGGUGAAAUGCGUAGAUAUCGGAAGGAACAUCAGUGGCGAAGGCGACUUCCUGGACCAAUACUGACGCUCAGGUGCGAAAGCGUGGGGAGCAAACAGG
rnacentral:rRNA from 1 species